ACUCCUACGGGAGGCAGCAGUGGGGGAUAUUGCACAAUGGGGGAAACCCUGAUGCAGCGACGCCGCGUGUAGGAAGACGGUCCUCUGGAUUGUAAACUACUGUCCCCAGGGACGAAGAUGACGGUACCUGGGGAGGAAGCUCCGGCUAACUACGUGCCAGCAGCCGCGGUAAUACGUAGGUGGCAAGCGUUGUUCGGAAUAACUGGGCGUAAAGGAUGCGUAGGCGGUUAAACAAGUUAUAUGUUAAAUAUAUAGGCUUAACCUGUAGAAAGCAUAUAAAACUGUUUAACUAGAUUGCAGGAGAG
rnacentral:rRNA from 1 species